UACAGAGGUCCCGAGCGUUGUUCGGAUUCACUGGGCGUAGAGGGUGCGUAGGUGGCCUAAAAAGUUUGAUGUGAAAGCUCAGGGCUUAACCCUGAAAUGGCAUUGAAUACUGUUGGGCUGGAGGUUUGGAGGGGGGACUGGAAUUCUUGGUGUAGCAGUGAAAUGCGUAGAUAUCAAGAGGAACACCAGUGGCGAAGGCGAGUCCCUGGACAACACCUGACACUGAGGCACGAAGGCCAGGGGAGCAAACGGG
rnacentral:rRNA from 1 species